rnacentral:rRNA from 1 species
AUUGAACGCUGGCGGCAGGCCUAACACAUGCAAGUCGAACGGCAGCACAGAAGAGCUUGCUCUUUGGGUGACGAGUGGCGGACGGGUGAGUAAUGUCUGGGAAACUGCCCGAUGGAGGGGGAUAACUACUGGAAACGGUAGCUAAUACCGCAUAACGUCGCACGACCAAAGUGGGGGACCUUCGGGCCUCACACCAUCGGAUGUGCCCAGAUGGGAUUAGCUAGUAGGUGGGGUGAUGGCUCACCUAGGCGACGAUCCCUAGCUGGUCUGAGAGGAUGACCAGCCACACUGGAACUGAGACACGGUCCAGACUCCUACGGGAGGCAGCAGUGGGGAAUAUUGCACAAUGGGCGCAAGCCUGAUGCAGCCAUGCCGCGUGUAUGAAGAAGGCCUUCGGGUUGUAAAGUACUUUCAGCGGGGAGGAAGGCGGUGAGGUUAAUAACCUUGCCGAUUGACGUUACCCGCAGAAGAAGCACCGGCUAACUCCGUGCCAGCAGCCGCAGUAA